GGAUUGCAGCCUGCAACUCGGCUGCAUGAAGCCGGAAUCGCUAGUAAUCGCGGAUCAGAACGCCGCGGUGAAUACGUUCCCGGGUCUUGUACACACCGCCCGUCACACCAUGGGAGUUGGGAAUGCCCGAAGUCGGUGCCUAAACCGAGAGGAGAGAGCCGCCGAAGGCAGGCCCAGCGACUGGGGUGAAGUCGUAACAAGGUAUC
rnacentral:rRNA from 1 species